rnacentral:snoRNA from 14 species
UUGCAAUGAUGAGAUCUUAUAAUGAAAUUGAAAGUGUUUACACUUCAUGAACGGUCGACAAAAUAGUCGAACCUGAGCGGUUAGCUGAGCAA